rnacentral:rRNA from 1 species
GAUGAACGCUGGCGGCGUGCCUAAUACAUGCAAGUCGAGCGAACGGACGAGAAGCUUGCUUUUCUGAUGUUAGCGGCGGACGGGUGAGUAACACGUGGAUAACCUACCUAUAAGACUGGGAUAACUUCGGGAAACCGGAGCUAAUACCGGAUAAUAUUUUGAACCGCAUGGUUCAAAAGUGAAAGACGGUCUUGCUGUCACUUAUAGAUGGAUCCGCGCUGCAUUAGCUAGUUGGUAAGGUAACGGCUUACCAAGGCAACGAUGCGUAGCCGACCUGAGAGGAUGAGCAGCAACACUAGAACUGAGACACGGUCAAGGCUACAACGGGAGGCAGCAGCGGGGAAUAUGGGACAAUGGGCGCAAGCCUGAACCAGCCAACCCGCGUGGGUGAAGAAAGGCUUCGGAUCGUAAACCCCUGUUGGUGGUAAAAAAAAACAGCACGGGAAAACCCCCCGGUUCUGACGGCACCCAAAUAAAAAGCACCGGCUAACUUCGUG